rnacentral:rRNA from 1 species
UACGGAGGAUGCGAGCGUUAUCCGGAUUUAUUGGGUUUAAAGGGUGCGUAGGCGGCUUUAUAAGUCAGCGGUGAAAGGUUGCGGCUUAACUGUAACAUUGCCGUUGAUACUGUAUGGCUAGGAAGUAGAUGAAGUGAUCGGAAUGUGUGGUGUAGCGGUGAAAUGCAUAGAUAUCACACAGAAUAUCGAUAGCGCAGGCAGGUCACUAAGCUAUAUUUGACGCUGAGGCACGAAAGUGUGGGGAUCAAACAGGAUUAGAUACCCUGGUAGUCCACACUGUAAACGAUGAUAGCUCGUUGUCGGCGAUAGACCGUCGGUGACCAAGCGAAAGCGAUAAGUUAUCCACCUGGGGAGUACGACCGCAAGGUUGAAACUCAAAGGAAUUGACGGGGGCCCGCACAAGCGGAGGAACAUGUGGUUUAAUUCGAUGAUACGCGAGGAACCUUACCCGGGCUCGAACGGUGCAGGAAUAGUUCAGAGAUGGAUUAGCUAGCAAUAGUCUGUAUCGAGGUGCUGCAUGGUUGUCGUCAGCUCGUGCCGUGAGGUGUCGGCUUAAGUGCCAUAACGAGCGCAACCCUUGUUGUUAGUUACCAUCGGGUAAAGCCGGGGACUCUAACGAGACUGCCAGCGUAAGCUGUGAGGAAGGGGGGGAUGACGUCAAAUCAGCACGGCCCUUACGUCCGGGGCGACACACGUGUUACAAUGGGGGGUACAGAGGGUAGCUACCUGGUGACAGGAUGCUAAUCUCGAAAGCCUUUCUCAGUUCGGAUCGGAGUCUGCAACUCGACUCCGUGAAGUUGGAUUCGCUAGUAAUCGCGCAUCAGCCAUGGCGCGGUGAAUACGUUCCCGGGCCUU